GGUUUGAUGACCUCAAAGCCAAAAUCAUGAUAAAUAGUAUAUGAUGAAAAAUAAAGCAAUAAGAUGUUGCGUUCUUCAUAUCAAACAUACUCCCUUUUUGAAUCGAAUUUCUCAAAUCAAUAGUUUCAAAAUUUUCAACUUUCUCUCAAAAUUAUUUAUCCCAUCCUUCCGAAUGACACAACUAGAGCUAGUACAUAAACCGGCCUCAUUAUGCCCAAGCAUAUGAGACAAAUCCGGCCAACUUUCGGUACUAAUCGAGGCUUGGCUUCCCCUCCCGCGCAGGUUUUCGGUCGUCUAUUCACGGUGGAUUAUCCAAGCCAUCUUAUUCCGGAUACACUAAUGUACCAAAAUCCCGGAUACCUAGCGGUCAUUCCUAAAAAUAGUUACAUCCUCAAUUUCAAAUUUCAGUUUCAUUUCAAACUUUUCAAUCAUAACCAAGUUUAUGAUACAUAGAGUACUAUUACCAAUAAUUUCAAGAAAACCAACCAUUAAAUAUGCAGAUGCCCAACUCAUCAAAUAUAAGGCAUUAUUAAAUAAAAUUAUUUUAAUGUAGCUACCAUCCAAUUAAUUCCAUAAGCAUUAUGAAAAUAUAAGACCAAAACAAUAUAAGCAAUAGUGUAAAUUAAAAAUUUUCAACAUCUCUACUCUAAAUCUCCUCAUAAAACAUUAUAUCAUGAAAAAAAAUUAGAUUUUCAUGAUAGGGUUUGUCCUAACAUAAAUACCUCAUAGGCUAAGUCCUGAGCUACAACACAAUCCCAAGAUUAAACCCAACAAAAUAACCCCCCCUUUACCUCCAAUUCAAUGGAAGAAAAACUUCAAAAAAAUGGUUGAGAAGAUGGUAUGACAAAACAUCCCACUAGCUCUAAUUCGAAUUGUUUGGUCAAUGCUAGCCCCCGUUGAGUAGUAGGUGCUAAUCUUCAAAAGAACUAUUACUAAUUUUCACCCUAACCCCUCACAUAAUGGCUUCAAAGUUGAAACCCACUUUUCUCUUUUAAACAGGACAAACCAAGAGAGGGCAGGGAAACAGAGAAGACAAGGGGAAAAAAAAAAGAAACGUGAGUGGAAAGGGAAUCUUGGUCAAAGAGGAGAAAGAAAAGGAUUAUAGAUACUAAAUGCUUCCUUUUUGCCUUAAGGCCUUGUUUGGCCUCAAAAAAAUAAUACUAUUUGUUAUGGUUCAGAGCAUUUAGCCCCCUUCUCUCAUUCAUACUUGCAUUACUCAACAUAAGCCCAAAACAAAUUUAAUCAACCAUAAUUAAAAUAACUUAGGCCCAAUCACCCCACAAAUUGGACCCAAUUAAAAAAUAAGUCUAAUUAUAACCCAAACCCCAAACGGUGCAUCUAUAUAUAUAUAUACAUGGCAUGAUGCCGUCAUACAUGUGUCCUAAUUCUAUACGUCAUAGGAAAAAAAUUUGAAACCUUACAAACCUCCACCACUAAAGAAAUUUCGUCCACGAAAUUAGAUAAACAUACCAGUUGGUAAAAAGAUCUAUGGAUUAAUUCGCACGAACUUCAAACUUGCGUCCCACGUAGUCUCCUCCCGCCAUGGGCUGAAGCCAAGCUCUUCACCAAGGGGAUGUGGUCUUUCUUACGAACCAUGGUCCCGCGUGUUCCAAUUACACGGAAUCAGUCGCUCCUUAUACGUGAUGUCCUCAUUGAUAACAAGAGCUCCCCAAAUCAAAACGUGUGAAGGAUCGGGUUCAUAUUUUCGCAAAGCGAAAACAUGAAACACAUAUGUACAUUCGCCAAACGCAGUGGUAAAGCAAGACAAUACGCCAUGCCUCCGAACGGUCAAGAAUCUCAAAUGGGCCAAAUAACCUUGGCCGAUAGCUUGCUGUGCUGUUAUGCCCAAAACGCAUUAUACCCCUUUGGGUGAAACAUUCAAGAACACGUUUGAUCUCCCACGGUGAAUCAAGAGUGACAUUCCUCCGGUCGACGUAGUUCUUUUUGAUGGACUCUGUGCCAUAAGUACAACGUUUCCUAAUCAAAACCUAAUUUCUCGGUAGUAGCAUGACCCAAUCCGACGUUACAAAUGUUGCCUCCCGACGUCGUCCAACAUUACAGGUGACCACACAGUCUUCCGUACAAUGCCUCAAAAGGUGUUCAUCCCAAUGCUACUGAUAGCUAUAUUAUACGCAAUUCUACUAAGGUAGAGAUCCGUCCCAGUUAUCCCCCGAAAUCAAGUUACACAUGACCGAAGCAAGCAUGUCUUCCAAAAUUUUAAUAGUAACUCAGACUGCCCGUCAGUCGCAGGGUUAAAACGCAGUGCUUAAUCUCAAAUCAGAGCCAAGAGCUGACUUCAUCCUCUUCCAAGAGCGAUGUAAAAUGCGGAUCUCUAUCAGAAACGAUUAGAUUACCGAAACUCCGUUGAAGUCGAACGAUUUCAGAACACGAACAUAAAUGGACCGCCCAGAUCCCUCGCGAAUUUGACAAAUGCGAUAGGAGAACGUGCGACAGAUUGGUCAUCAAACGAUUAACCCAACAAAUGGUUGUCAGCCCUCUA
rnacentral:lncRNA from 1 species